CACGAACGCUGGCGGCAGGCCUAACACAUGCAAGUCGAGCGGAUCCUUCGGGAUUAGCGGCGGACGGGUGAGUAACGCGUGGGAAUAUGCCCUUCUCCACGGAAUAGCCUCGGGAAACUGGGAGUAAUACCGUAUACGCCCUACGGGGGAAAGAUUUAUCGGAGAAGGAUUAGCCCGCGUUGGAUUAGGUAGUUGGUGGGGUAAUGGCCUGCCAAGCCUACGAUCCAUAGCUGGUUUGAGAGGAUGAUCAGCCACACUGGGACUGAGACACGGCCCAGACUCCUACGGGAGGCAGCAGUGGGGAAUCUUAGACAAUGGGGGAAACCCUGAUCUAGCCAUGCCGCGUGAGUGAUGAAGGCCUUAGGGUUGUAAAGCUCUUUCAGCUGGGAAGAUAAUGACGGUACCAGCAGAAGAAGCCCCGGCUAACUCCGUGCCAGCCGCCGCCGUAACAC
rnacentral:rRNA from 1 species